GGAGGGAAUGGGAGAAAGAGGAGAGGGAAGAGAGGAAGGGGGACCGGCCGGCGCUGGUGGGCCUUGCCGUCGCCGUCGACGUUGCCUAGAGGAGGAGAAGGAACCAGGUGAGCAAAGGGGAGGAGGAGGCCACUGCUGUUGUCCGCGCCGUCACCGUCGCGCUAAGCGUGUCACCAAUGCUGUUGUUGCCGAGAGAGGGAGGAAGGACGACGGCGCUGUCUCACUGUCAGGGCCGUGCAUGCCGCCGCCGAGUGAAGCCGCGAACGUCGCCGUCACUGGAGCAGAGAGCGAAAGAGAGCACUUUCCGUGGAGAAAGGGAAGGCGCUGUCGUGCAGCGCGAAGCCGCCGCCGCCGUCACGCACCCUGUCGCCGCGGUUGAUGAUGGGUCGCCGGGCCUCGCCGCGCCGCCGUGCCUGGUUGCCGAAAAACGGCACUGCCGUUACUGGGAUCCACUGUCGUUGUUGUCAUCGGAGCCUGGGGCUAUUGUCGUCACUUGAGGUAGCUGCCGGAGCUUCUGCCCCUCCGUUGCGGCAUUUUUCUUUAACUGUGGGUCGAGUUCUGGAAACUGUAUGAUUAAAAUAGAGGCUGUUGCGGUGUUAUCCUUC